GGGUCGUUGGCAGAGCGGGUAUGCAGCCGCCUUUUAAGCGGAUUCAUCCAGGUUCAACCCCUGGGCGACCCA
rnacentral:tRNA from 13 species